rnacentral:rRNA from 1 species
CCUACGGGGGGCAGCAGUGAGGAAUAUUGGUCAAUGGGAGAGAUCCUGAACCAGCCAAGCCGCGUGAGGGAAGACGGCCCUAUGGGUUGUAAACCUCUUUUGUCGGAGAACAAAACCCGGGACGAGUCCCGGACUGCGUGUAUCCGAAGAAAAAGCAUCGGCUAACUCCGUGCCAGCAGCCGCGGUAAUACGGAGGAUGCGAGCGUUAUCCGGAUUUGUUGGGUUUAAAGGGUGCGAAGGCGGUCCGUUAAGUCAGCGGUAAAAUUGCGGGGCUCAACCCCGGACAGCCGUUGAAACUGGAAGACUUGAGUUGGCGAGAGGUAGGCGGAAUGCGCGGUGUAGCGGUGAAAUGCAUAGAUAUCGCGCAGAACUCCGAUUGCGAAGGCAGCGUACCGGCGCGAAACUGACGCUGAGGCACGAAAGCGUGGGGAUCGAACAGGAUUAGAUACCCUUGUAGUC